AGCGCCAGAACAAAGUGAUCUCUGGGCCUUCCUCGUCGCUGUGUGUCAGUAUCCCAACGAGUGAGAUUUUGUGGCUGAAGGUUCUAUCGGAAUAAUGUGAUGAAACGCGGCAUUAUUCAGGGAACGAUCCUUUCCCACAUGUGUUGAACAGACAAGGAUUGGAGCUGUGUGUUCCUAACCACUUCCUGCCGCGGCUGUGGAUAUCUUCACAAGCAUCAAAUGGACGGCCCAACGGUCAGAAGGAUGGUCUGAAAGGUGGGCAAAUGGAACAUGAUGACGCAAACCCGCGCGAAGCAGCUUAGAAACAGCUGCACGAAACCUCUCGGGGAAUGUACGUCUGUGCGCGCGGAGAUACUGGAAUGACUCAACGAACGGGAUCACACAAGACGGUGCUGCAAAUCGUGAACGGA